UUUAUUGGAGAGUUUGAUCCUGGCUCAGGAUGAACGCUGGCGGCGUGCCUAAUACAUGCAAGUCGAGCGAAUGGAUUAAGAGCUUGCUCUUAUGAAGUUAGCGGCGGACGGGUGAGUAACACGUGGGUAACCUGCCCAUAAGACUGGGAUAACUCCGGGAAACCGGGGCUAAUACCGGAUAAUAUUUUGAACCGCAUGGUUCGAAAUUGAAAGGCGGCUUCGGCUGUCACUUAUGGAUGGACCCGCGUCGCAUUAGCUAGUUGGUGAGGUAACGGCUCACCAAGGCAACGAUGCGUAGCCGACCUGAGAGGGUGAUCGGCCACACUGGGA
rnacentral:rRNA from 1 species